rnacentral:tRNA from 1 species
ACUUGAAUAGCUUAAAUUUAAAGCUUAAUAUUGAAGAUAUUAAAAUGAAUAAUUAUUCUUCAGGUA